UACGGGGGGGGCAAGCGUUGUUCGGAAUUACUGGGCGUAAAGGGCUCGUAGGCGGCCAACUAAGUCAGACGUGAAAUCCCUCGGCUUAACCGGGGAACUGCGUCUGAUACUGGAUGGCUUGAGGUUGGGAGAGGGAUGCGGAAUUCCAGGUGUAGCGGUGAAAUGCGUAGAUAUCAGGAAGAACACCCGUGGCGAAGGCGGUUCUCUGGGACGGUACUGACGCUGAGACGCGAAAGCGUGGGUAGCGAAUGGG
rnacentral:rRNA from 1 species